UUCAUUUUUUCAGUGUUGAAACAAUCUCUGCUGAACCAGACUGCAAAUCAAGUUCACUGGAGUUUGUUUCAAUAUUGGAAGAAUGUUAAUAUG
rnacentral:pre_miRNA from 1 species